rnacentral:rRNA from 1 species
UAAUACGUAGGUGGCAAGCGUUGUCCGGAUUUACUGGGCGUAAAGCGAACGCAGGCGGAUCUUUAAGUAGGAAGUGAAAGGUUGGAGCUCAACUCUAACACUGCUCCCUAUACUGGAGAUCUUGAGUGCCGGAGAGGAAAACGGAACAAGUUGUGUAGCGGUGAAAUGCGUUGAUAUAACUUGGAACACCAAUGGCGAAAGCAGUUUUCUGGACGGAUACUGACGCUCAUGUUCGAAAGCCAAGGUAGCAAACAGGAUUAGAUACCCUGGUAGUCUUGGCCUUAAACGAUGCUCACUAGGUGUUGGGGGGUAACCCUCGGUGCCGCAGCUAACGCAUUAAGUGAGCCGCCUGGGGACUACGGCCGCAAGGUUG